rnacentral:piRNA from 1 species
GUUUGUUUGUGUGUUUGUUUUCCCAG